CCCAACCCUCUUAUUUCUA
rnacentral:tRNA from 1 species